GCAAGAAUGCAAGCACCGAUUAUCUCCAGAAGUUUGGGAGCCCCCAAACUCCAGCUGCUUACAAAUCCCAGGUUCCAAUCGUAUCCUAUGAGGAUGUCGCCGGAGAGAUUGAAAGGAUUGCAUCCGGGGACGAGAGCCCAGUUCUUUGCCAGGACCCAAUUAUUUGCUUUUUCGCGAGGUAAGAAUGUCUUUGCCGGAAGAACAAAGCAAAAUCUCUCUUUUUCUAGUUUAAUUGUCAAAAUUUUCUAAUUCCAGCUCCGGCACAUCAUCUGGGAAGCACAAGAUUAUUCCAGUCACUGCUGAGAAUAUGUCCGCCACAACGAGAGCAAUAGAACUUUCCAGUGCUUACAAAGCAAGGUAUUUUGCUAAUCUCAAUAUAUCUUGUGAAGAACUUUGAUGGUUCUGUGGAAAUCUUUUAGAUGUUUCCCGGAGCUUGGAAGUGGGAGAGUGCUCGGUUUGUACUACUGCAUCGAUCAAUUUCAUACCAAGGCGGGGAUCUUGGUGGGAGCUGGCACCACUUACACGAUCAAGAACUACAGAAACUUCUCAAGUAAGUUCACGACUCCGUACGAGAUGAUCGUGUCCGGGUCAAACUGGCGGGAGCUGACGUACUGCCACUUGCUGUGUGGCUUGAUCCAGCGAGACGCGGUGGAACACAUCGAGUCGAUGUUUGCCUACACCAUCUGCGAGUCUCUGAGGAUCCUCGAGAGCGAUUGGGAGGAGAUUUGCAACGACAUAAGAACUGGCAGCUUGAUCAGCGGCAAAGUCACACACGCAAAGCUCCAAGAAGCUUUCGCGAGGUUAAUUCUGGAUUAUAACGAGCUGGAUCGUGUCCGCAAUGCCGAGGCCAUCACCAAGAUUUGCAGCAGAAAAUCAUGGUCUGGAAUUCUUUCCUUGCUCUUCCCGCGAGCAAAACUGGUUUCCACAGUGGUGACCGGGGGGAUGGCACACUUUGUUCCUCAGUUAAGAGAUUACGCAGGUGUCAAGCUUCCAAUCUCCGGGAAAGACUACUACUCGUCUGAGGGAGUUCUUGGGAUCAACACAAACCCCGCUUCUCCUCUUGAGGAAGUCGUCUUCACAAUUUUACCACACAUAAUGUACCACGAGUUUCUUCCGCUCGGUGCUAAUAAUCCAGCUGGUGAAAUCCUGGCUCCACACGAGGUUGUCGUUGGGCAAGAGUACGAGAUCGUCAUCACGAACUUCGCAGGUUUGCCAUCUUCUAUCUUUUCUUGCAAAUUUCUCACCCGAAGUGUUCUCUUUUCUUUAAGGAUUAUAUCGAUACCGAGUCGGGGACGUGGUGAAAGUAUCGAGUUUUUUCCAUGGAGUUCCUCAGCUGGCUUUCAGCCACCGCAAGAACGCGGUUCUGAGCGUCCAAAAUGAGAUGGUCGACGAGCAAGAGCUCCAAAAUGUGGUGAUGGAAGUAUCAAAAGAGGCAGGGAUCGAGGUGGCGAACUUCACAGCCUAUGGCAAUUCCACCGCUGUUCCUGCGCACUACGUGAUCUUCUGGGAGCUCAAACGCAGAGAAGGGAUCAACAGAGAGCUCUUGGAGAGAUGCUGCUCGAGUAUAGACAGGUCUUUCAAUCCGGGAUACACUGGAAAGAGGCUGGAUGAAGUGAUCGACUCGCUGGAGCUGGUGAUUGUCAAGGAAGGGACGUUUGAGAGGCUGAUGGAGGAAGCUGUGAGGAAUGGAACAUCGCCAGCGCAGUAUAAAACUCCAAGGUGUGUGACCUCUCCAAGAAUGCUGGAAGUUCUAGAGUCUGGACGCGUCCAGAGCUACAAGAGUGGGGAGAUGCCUAGAUCUGUGUUAGAGAGCUGGGAGCCAAGCUUUCCACAAGGCAGUGCAUCGCGAGAUGCCUAGAAUAUACCUGAAAAAGCAUCCAGAUUUGUCUCCAACAGAAGUCCGCCCCUCACCUCAUUUUGUCUGGCUGAGAUUUCUAAGAACAAACAUAGUUAAGGUAGCAAAAUCAUAGUCAAUACAUACAUUGGGCCAAUUUCAUGAGUUUUUCAAAGGUAUAACAGAAUACAACCAUUAAAACUUGAUUUGAAUCAUUGAAGCUGGAGGAGAUUUAGUUGUGACAAUUGCGAAUCCACCGCCACAGCUAAGAUGGCUAAUCUUCUUAAAAAUUGCAUCAACAAGAACAUUGCUGCAGAAAAGAUUGAGCUCUUGGUGGAGCUGCUAUGUCUAUUCCAUUAUCUUCCCCACUAUCAACAAGAUCCCAUUGGAAAAAAAAUCCUGUCCCAAUUUCACCAGCUUCACAAGACAUUAUGAAUCUUAGCAACAUCUGGUUAAACCAAAAGAAAAUUCUGAAUGAGAAACAAUGCAAUGUACCUGAGUGUAGGAUUUGGUUCUGAAGUUCAUCCUAGAAAUCUAGAGGCAAGGGUAAGUUUCCAUUAAGAAUGUGUGCUGCGUUGACGAGAUCAUUCUCAUCAAAGGGAGCUUGUUGAUUCGUUGCCAAUGUCAUCUCAGAGAUAAAUGCCAAGAAUCCUAGUAAAACUUGCUUUGUGUUCUAUGUUGAUGUCUUUGCUGUGGCUACUUCAAAACCUUAAGCUGCUUGACCAUGUAGAGAUCUUUAGCUUGUUGGUACUGAAGUUCCUAUUUAUUAUAGGGCUUCCUCUAGCAAACUCUCAGCAUGGAGGUUGGUCACUCUCAUGUAGAAACUUUUUGCCAAAAAUCCCAUAUCUAGUCUUAUGGGAUUUUCAGUAACCCACUUACCCAUACUUGUGAUGGAAUACUUGGCUACAAACUUGUUACUUGCCAUUGAGGAACUUUAUACCCAUUGCAAAGUAAUGAAGCAAGGGUAAGUUAUUGCCUUCACCACAGCCUCAAAAACGUCUGCUAGAACUUCCUAAAUUUAGGCAUGUAGCCACUCUUUAUUAGUAAAUCACAUAUUUCUACCACUAAAAGCUUGAAAGGAAUUUAUGAGUGGUUUGGCGAAUUUGCUUAUUGAAGUGUUGAGACAGAUAUUUCUUCCAUGAUGUUGUCAAAGUUGGUGUCUGUAAAUAUGAUGGACCAUGCAUGUAAAGCAAUGGUGACCACCUUCAUCUCCAAGAAGAGAAUGCAAUGCAUAAUAAACUUAAUGACAGCUCAAGGGUCUCUCAAUACCAUAUGCCAGCUUUCACAUCCUUGCAAAGCUUUAUUCUACCUGGCAUCACCAAUGGAAAUGCACCAGCUAUCCAUACCACAUUUUGCAUGGUGUUCAAUGGCUCCCACAUGCAUGGGGCAGGUCCUCCUCAAAUGCAGGCCACUGUAUCAGUGCAUCCCUACACUCAUUGCAUACUGUGUAGGGUAACACAAUUGUGCAUAAGCAAUUGAGCUGCAUCUUCACCAUAAGGAUUAAGAACAUGCUUUUAUUUCUUAUAAGGAAAAUUCAUCUCAUCUAUAUCAAAGUAUUCAAGCAAAAUAAGUUGCAUUUCGCCUCAUGUAGCUUAUUUUGUUGGCCCCUCACAUCAUCCACCACCAACUGAUUACCGACAAAUAUGCAAUACACAAAGUACAACCAAGGGGAAAACAAGUUUGAACAUGGAUACAAAGCUUAUGAACUCAAGGACAUAAAACCCACGAAUUUGGAGCCAAUACAAUGUUUUAACUCAACUAUACAAUGUUUUAACUAUUUUGACCUCAAUGUUUUAUAUUUUUUAACACUAAAAAAUAUAAGUCUUCAAUGAGUAUCUUGAUUUAUGCAUUUUUAUUUAUUUAUUUAUAUAGCUUUAUCAUGGCAGUAGGCACAUCAUGUUCUGUUUAUGCUCUACUACUUCAAGUAAUUUAUGUGAAGAGUAGGAUAUAUUUUAUAUCAAGAUGGGAACAUUGUAUUAACUCACUUUUGUGCCAAAGCUAAAUGCCUACUAAAUGCUAUAAAGUUCAUAGCUAAUCUCCUAUGAUGACAAGCUAUUUGAUUGUCAUUUCUUACUUACAUAUAAUGCAUAUUUUAAAUAAAGAAUUGUAUUUAUAAUCAAUGCUCACCCUUCUACUUUUUGAAACCUGCACACGCAUGAUAAAUUGUGAUGCCUAAAUUGAGACAAAAAGUCACAUACCUUACCACAACAUCCACAAUGGAGGCAUUAUGAACAAAUCCUUGCACUCGUGUUUGCACAAUUAGUCUUCACCCACCAAUCAAUCUUUUCCCUCAAACUCCUCAAAACCUACACAUACAAUAAGGGAUCAAAUGUAUUGCAACACAUAUGGGGAUAAGCUCAUGAAAAAAACCUCAUACUAGUGUUGCUUGCAAAAACCAUAAUUGCACUUCUUAUGUGCUCAGAAGACAAGUUGCCCAUAUCUUUGUAAGAGAAUAAGAGAGUGGCAAGCAAGAAACGACCUAGCAAAGAGAUAUAUGUGGCAACAUGAUUGCAUGCACCCAUAAAUGCUUCAGAUGGCAAAUGGUGUAAAUCUAUACAACAGUUUUCGCUUUAAUUAAAAACGCUGUAACAUUUCCAUUUUACCCUUUCUAAUAUGGCAAUGGCCCUUUUCUAGUCUUCUAUAUUUAACACGAUGUGGCCUAUGGACCCCAAACAUAUUACUUUCUAACCCUAGCAAUUGAAAUGUGAUCAGAAUAUGUUUAAAAACCAAAAAUCAAAAUCACAUAGACUCCCUUUUGGCCACCACAUCAUUCAUGUAUAUUAUGCAAAAUUAAAACCCUUUCAAUUGAGUGCAAAUUAUUUGCUGAUUAAAUAUUUUAAAAGUUUUUUUUGUCCUCCCAACUUGUUGGUUAGAGACUAGGCUCUUCUCUUUGUUGGUAAUAAAAAAGGUAUGCAGAAAACCAGUCAAACACAUAUUUUUUCCGGUAAUCACAGCGAACUUUGGGUAAAAACACCUCUGUAAGUUGGCUUGAAUUGGAAUUUGUGGAAAAUUAUAAACAUGAUAUAAUCCACGAAGAUAAUUACUUGAUCCUGCAAAAACUCGUCCAUGCAGAUCUCCCCUCAAGCUGCUCCACCAUCUUCGCCAGUGCUGCUGCCACCAUCCCUUCCUGGAGCUCCACUUCCUGCCCGUCAGCACCGACGCUCCAAGCCAGUGCCCAUUGCUCGUCUCCGCAUCAAGCACCACCUGCAUUCGACACUUGCUCUCGCGAAAACUCGCUCUCCAUCGCCAACGCCAGCUUCUGGCAGCCCUGGAUCUCUUUGGAACCUCAGCCUCGAGCGCUACACGCCCCGGACACACGUAUGCCGUACACUUCGUGACGGCCCCGCGCAGGUACGCGCCCCACUCCCAGCGGGCAUGACCCCUGCCUCUCCUCGCACACCUCCACAGCGCGACAAACCUUGCUAAAGUUGGCAGGACGACGCGCUUGAGGUACUGGAAAGGUGGCGAGAAUGGUGCCACCGUUGAGGGCGAAGGUGGAGCUGCCGGAUCCGAUGCGCGGGUGGAGUCUUGGUCCAGGUGUCAAAACCCUAAACUAAUCAGACAUGGGGUUCGUGAUUCAGUGCCCGGUGGUGAGCUUCGAGGAUGCCGCGAAGAGAAAUACUCUUGGUUUUCUAGUGAGUAUUGGCGCGAACAAGGCUCGGGCUGUGAAGAGCAGUACGGAUUGUCCCGGGUCAAGAGCGUUCGGACAUGUAUACAGGGGAAGGACAAGUUUGCGUAUGUUGUGGUGGAUGACGCCUUUGAUACGGCAGCGAGGCUGGGAUUUCUAGGAACAAACCACUGAUUUCCAAUAUUUGAAUGGAAUAAAGUUUCUUGGGAAUCCGAGUUCUUUAAAAUUGUCCUCUUUGGUGAAAUAAAAAGCUAUUCGUGUCACGUUUAUCACGUUUAAUACACGAUGGAGAACAUUGGCAAUAAUGGAGCUUCGGUCCAGGAGGAGCUACUGGGCGGCGGAAGAAAGGGAGCACCCAUUAUCUCCAGAAGUUUGGGAGCCCCCAAAUUCCCAAUCGUAACCUAUGAGGAUGUCGCCGGAGAGAUUGAAAGGAUUGCGUCCGGGAGGGCCAGUUCUUUGUCACGAGGUGAAAUCCUCGCUUGACACGAGGUUGUCACUGGGCAAGAGUACGAGAUCGUCAUCACAAACUUCGCAGGUCUUAGUUUCUAUCUUUUUCAACUUUUUUUUCUUUCUUUUUUUUCUCAGGAUUAUAUCGAUACCGAGUGGGGAUGUGGUGAAAGUAUCGAGUUUCUUCCAUGGAGUUCCUCAGCAAACUCAGAGAAGAGACCAGGAGAGAGCUCUGGGAGAAAUGCUGCUCGAGCAUAUACAGGUUUUUCAAUCUGGGAUACACUGGAAAGAGGCUGGAUGGAGUGAUGUCUAGGUUUCGUGAGAAGCGACAAAAAGAAAAUUUGUGGUGAUUCUAUAAAAGGGAAGAUUUUUCUAAAUUUUAAACCCUAGUAUCAUAUGUUGAUCAAUUUAAAAAGUUUACAUGAAGAAAACUAGAGAAGAAUUG
rnacentral:lncRNA from 1 species